rnacentral:rRNA from 1 species
GUGAACGCUGGCGGUAGGCCUAACACCUGCAAGUCGAACGGCAGCACAGUAAGAGCUUGCUCUUACGGGUGGCGAGUGGCGGACGGGUGAGGAAUACAUCGGAAUCUACUUUUUCGUGGGGGAUAACGUAGGGAAACUUACGCUAAUACCGCAUACGACCUACGGGUGAAAGCAGGGGAUCUUCGGACCUUGCGCGAUUGAAUGAGCCGAUGUCGGAUUAGCUAGUUGGCGGGGUAAAGGCCCACCAAGGCGACGAUCCGUAGCUGGUCUGAGAGGAUGAUCAGCCACACUGGAACUGAGACACGGUCCAGACUCCUACGGGGGGCAGCAGUGGGGAAUAUUGGACAAUGGGCGCAAGCCUGAUCCAGCCAUACCGCGUGGGUGAAGAAGGCCUUCGGGUUGUAAAGCCCUUUUGUUGGGAAAGAAAAGCAGCAGGUUAAUACCCCGCUGUUCUGACGGUACCCAAAGAAUAAGCACCGGCUAACUUCGUG